AGAGUUUGAUCCUGGCUCAGGAUGAACGCUGGCGGCGUGCCUAACACAUGCAAGUCGAGCGGAGAUAGGUUGAAGCCUAGCGAUUCCUAUCUUAGCGGCGGAUGGGUGAGUAACACGUGGGUAACCUGCCCUGUACUGGGGGAUAACAGCUGGAAACGGCUGUUAAUACCGCAUAUGCGCACGGAGCCGCAUGGCCCUGGGCGGAAAGAUUCAUCGGUACAGGAUGGGCCCGCGCCGGAUUAACUUGUUGGCGGGGUAACGGCCCACCAAGGUGAUGAUCCGUAGCCGACCUGAGAGGGUGACCGGCCACAUUGGGACUGAGACACGGCCCAAACUCCUACGGGAGGCAGCAGUGGGGGAUAUUGCACAAUGGGGGAAACCCUGAUGCAGCGACGCCGCGUGAAGGAAGAAGUAUUUCGGUAUGUAAACUUCUAUCAGCGGGGAAGAAGAUGACGGUACCCGCACAAGAAGCCCCGGCUAACUACGUGCCAGCAGCGGC
rnacentral:rRNA from 1 species